rnacentral:rRNA from 1 species
AUGCUCCUCCUUUUGCUGUGGUGUUCUCCGAGCCUUGUGCCUCCCUUCUUCCCACUACGAGGUUGCAAGUCUCUUGCUCUUGACUCUACCAAGAAAGCAUCAAAUGAUUCGUCAGUUGAUAAAUCUGCUGUGCGAUCUUCAUAUGAUCUAUUGAUUUUGAGUUUACAACAAGAGUGCUCUGUGGAUUCUGAUCUGCUCUUUCGCUUUGGUAGCAACCUGUUGCUGCUCAAGUUGUACUUCCCUAUUGGUCUCGAUGGUCGCUGGUUUUCGUUUGUCGUGUGUAUCGAAGAUAGAGCUUUUGUGUUUCUUGACUCAGCAUUUGGAGAGAACUCAACGUAUCAUAGAGAUAUCUAUGAUGAGCUGGUGAUUUUUCUUGUGACAUCAUCUUGGUCCUUUCCUCAUCCCUUUGUUUCUUUAGCUUAG